rnacentral:rRNA from 1 species
UACGUAGGGACCAAGCGUUGUCCGGAAUCAUUGGGCGUAAAGAGCGUGUAGGCGGCUUGUUAAGUCUUGCGUGAAAUCUCGGGGCUCAACCCCGAGCGGUCGUGAGAAACUGGCAGGCUAGAGUGCGGGAGAGGAGAGUGGAAUUCCUGGUGUAGCAGUGAAAUGCGUAGAUAUCAGGAGGAAUACCGAUGGCGAAGGCAGGUCUCUGGGCUGACACUGACGCUCAUGCACGAAAGCGUGGGGAGCAAACAGG